rnacentral:rRNA from 1 species
GCAAGUCAAGGGGAAUGCUUCUUUUGGGAAGUGAUUAUACUGGCGCACGGGUGAGUAAUAUGUAAGUAAUCUACCUUAGGGAUGGGGAUAACGUCGAGAAAUCGGCGCUAAUACCGAAUAAUGCAGCGGCACCGCAUGGUGAUGUUGUUAAAGUUGCUUUUGUAACGCCUUGAGAUGAGUUUGCAUCUGAUUAGUUAGUUGGUGGGGUAACGGCCUACCAAGGCGACGAUCAGUAGCUGGUCUGAGAGGAUGAUC